CCAUCACUAGUUGCCAUCAGGUAAUGCUGGGAACUCUAGUGAAACUGCCGUCGCAAGACGUGAGGAAGGAGGGGAUGAUGUCAAGUCAUCACGGCCUUUAUGCCCAGGGCUACACACGUGCUACAAUGGAGAGGACAAAGAGCUGCCACUUGGUGACAAGGAGCUAAUCUUAAAAACCUCUUCUCAGUUCAGAUUGCAGUCUGCAACUCGACUGCGUGAAGCUGGAAUCGCUAGUAAUCGUAUAUCAGCAAUGAUACGGUGAAUACGUUCCCGGACCU
rnacentral:rRNA from 1 species